GACGAACGCUGGCGGCGUGCUUAACACAUGCAAGUCGAACGAUGAAGCCCAGCUUGCUGGGUGGAUUAGUGGCGAACGGGUGAGUAACACGUGGGUGAUCUGCCCUGCACUCUGGGAUAAGCCUGGGAAACUGGGUCUAAUACCGGAUAUGACCUCUUGCUGCAUGGCGAGGGUGGAAAGUUUUUCGGUGCAGGAUGAGCCCGCGGCCUAUCAGCUUGUUGGUGGGGUAAUGGCCUACCAAGGCGACGACGGGUAGCCGGCCUGAGAGGGCGACCGGCCACACUGGGACUGAGACACGGCCCAGACUCCUACGGGAGGCAGCAGUGGGGAAUAUUGCACAAUGGGCGAAAGCCUGAUGCAGCGACGCCGCGUGAGGGAUGACGGCCUCGGUGUAACGUACUUCUAGCAGGACGAAG
rnacentral:rRNA from 1 species